rnacentral:rRNA from 1 species
GGGAGCUUGCUCCCUGGUGGCGAGCGGCGGACGGGUGAGUAAUGCAUAGGAAUCUGCCCGGUAGUGGGGGAUAACCUGGGGAAACCCAGGCUAAUACCGCAUACGUCCUACGGGAGAAAGCAGGGGCUCUUCGGACCUUGCGCUAUCGGAUGAGCCUAUGUCGGAUUAGCUGGUUGGUGAGGUAAUGGCUCACCAAGGCGACGAUCCGUAGCUGGUCUGAGAGGAUGAUCAGCCACAUCGGGACUGAGACACGGCCCGAACUCCUACGGGAGGCAGCAGUGGGGAAUAUUGGACAAUGGGGGCAACCCUGAUCCAGCCAUGCCGCGUGUGUGAAGAAGGCCCUCGGGUUGUAAAGCACUUUCAGUGGGGAAGAACGCCUGACGGUUAAUACCCGUCAGGGAAGACAUCACCCACAGAAGAAGCACCGGCUAACUCCGUGCCAGCAGCCGCGGUAAUACGGAGGGUGCGAGCGUUAAUCGGAAUUACUGGGCGUAAAGCGCGCGUAGGCGGCUUGAUAAGCCGGUUGUGAAAGCCCCGGGCUCAACCUGGGAACGGCAUCCGGAACUGUCAGGCUAGAGUGCAGGAGAGGAAGGUAGAAUUCCCGGUGUAGCGGUGAAAUGCGUAGAGAUCGGGAGGAAUACCAGUGGCGAAGGCGGCCUUCUGGACUGACACUGACGCUGAGGUGCGAAAGCGUGGGUAGCAAACAGGAUUAGAUACCCUGGUAGUCCACGCCGUAAACGAUGUCGACUAGCCGUUGGGUCCUUCGCGGACUUAGUGGCGCAGUUAACGCGAUAAGUCGACCGCCUGGGGAGUACGGCCGCAAGGUUAAAACUCAAAUGAAUUGACGGGG